rnacentral:rRNA from 1 species
GACGAGGGUGGCAAGCGUUAUUCGGAUUUACUGGGCCUAAAGCGCGCGUAGGCGGCUUGGCAAGUCGGGGGUGAAAGCCCGCAGCUCAACUGCGGAACUGCCUUCGAUACUGCCGGGCUUGAGGGCGGGAGGGGUGAUUGGAACUCCAGGUGUAGCGGUGAAAUGCGUAGAUAUCUGGAGGAACACCGGAGGCGAAGGCGAAUCACUGGACCGCUUCUGACGCUGAGGCGCGAAAGCUAGGGGAGCAAACAGG